rnacentral:rRNA from 1 species
UACGUAGGGUGCGAGCGUUGUCCGGAAUUACCGGGCGUAAAGAGCUCGUAGGUGGUUUGUCGCGUUGUUCGUGAAAACCGGGGGCUUAACCUCUGGCGUGCGGGCGAUACGGGCAGACUGGAGUACUGCAGGGGAGACUGGAAUUCCUGGUGUAGCGGUGGAAUGCGCAGAUAUCAGGAGGAACACCGGUGGCGAAGGCGGGUCUCUGGGCAGUAACUGACGCUGAGGAGCGAAAGCGUGGGGAGCGAACAGG